AGUCCCGCAGUAAAUGUGUACGUUGGGUUGCAAACCCAAAAAUGGAGGUUAAGUUUCUCCCGGGACUU
rnacentral:tRNA from 1 species